UGAGUAACACGUAUCCAGCCUGCCGUCUACUCUUGGGCAGCCUUCUGAAAGGAAGAUUAAUACAAGAUGGCAUCAUGAGUUCACAUGUUCACAUGAUUAAAGGUAUUCCGGUAGACGAUGGGGAUGCGUUCCAUUAGAUAGUAGGCGGGGUAACGGCCCACCUAGUCUUCGAUGGAUAGGGGUUCUGAGAGGAAGGUCCCCCACAUUGGAACUGAGACACGGUCCAA
rnacentral:rRNA from 1 species